GAUAGGGAUUUCCGGCUCCGGUAUCAUGGACGGCUCCUACCCAGAAGAGUCUCACACUGCGGUUGGUGGGAAGAGGCAGCAGUUUGGGAGCCGGUUCCUGAGCGACCCGGCUCGCGUUUUCCACCACAAUGCCUGGGACAAUGUGGAGUGGUCGGAAGAGCAGGCCGCCGCGGCGGAAAGGAAAGUCCAGGAGAACAGUAGCCAGCGCGUGUGCCAGGAAAAGCAAGUUAAAGAAACUUGGACCUCGGGACAUUAAGUGCCUUGCCCAGAGUUGAUUAUGAGAUCAAUGCCAACAAAUAUUGGAACGACUUCUACAAAAUUCAUGAAAAUGGGUUUUUCAAGGAUAGACAUUGGCUUUUUACUGAAUUCCCAGAGCUAGCACCUAUCCAAAACCAAAAUCACUUGAAGGAAUUGCUCUCAGAGAAAAAGAGGAGUGAAGUACCUGAAUGUAAAAGCAGCGAGGAUGGAUCUGGUUUAAAAAUAGAACAGCAGGAUUGUUCUUCAGUCAGCCUUGGACAUAAAACACAGCCAACUCCUGUGGAGGAGAAUGUAACUCAGAAACUCAGUCACCUGGAAAUCUGUCCUGCUGAGUUUCCUGGAUCCUCAGCCACCUACCGAAUACUCGAGGUUGGUUGUGGUGUGGGAAACACAGUCUUUCCAAUUCUACAAACUAACAAUGACCCAAGACUCUUUGUUUACUGUUGUGAUUUUUCUUCCACAGCUAUAGAACUGGUCCAGACAAAUUCAGCAUAUGAUCCUUCUCGGUGUUUUGCUUUUGUUCAUGAUCUCUGUGAUGAAGAUAAGAGUUACCCAGUGCCAGAGGAUAGUCUUAAUGUCAUCAUCCUCAUAUUUGUACUCUCAGCAAUUGUUCCAGACAAGAUGCAGAAAGCUAUCGACAGGCUGAGUAGGCUUCUGAAGCCUGGAGGGAUGAUGCUUCUGCGAGAUUAUGGCCGAUAUGACAUGGCUCAGCUUCGGUUCAAAAAAGGUCAGUGUCUGUCGGAAAAUUUCUAUGUGAGAGGUGAUGGCACCAGAGUUUACUUCUUCACACAAGAUGAACUGGACACACUUUUCACUACUGCUGGACUGGAAAAGGUUCAGAACUUGGUGGAUCGCCGGUUACAAGUGAAUCGAGGGAAACAACUGACCAUGUACCGAGUUUGGAUUCAGUGCAAAUAUCGCAAGCCUAUUCUGUCCAACACUGGCUGAGAGGCAUCUGCUCCUGAUAUGCGAGCUCAUUGAGGCUUUUUUAAAAGAAUGGUGUCUUGUUGAUAUUGAACUAUUCAAGGAUGCAAACAGACUUGAACCUGGGAAAAAUUAUUUUUUAUCAAGAUUCUUAGCAUUUUGCUUCAUAUCUGUGAAGCCCUGUGAUAUGUACUUUUCUCGAGUUUUUUUCUUACUUGGAGAUCUCAAAACCUUUCUUGCUGUUUGUAACUUAUCUUAAUAAUUGAAAUGUUAUUCAUGGGUGUCAAGAAUUUAUUUACAUUUGGAAGUAUUAUAUAUGAUAAAGUGAAUGAUUGAA